AUAUCAUCGAGCUCUAAAACACUAAGCUCCUAAUAUUCCGACUGCUUCCUUCUUGUGUUGACAUUACAAAAGGUUUUGCAAGAAUCUAUCCAUUGGAGCAGUGAAGCCAUAUUGGAGUAACUAAUUGAUUUAUAAGACUUUUUGUAGCGUUGGUAGCAAAUUUUUGGUUGCAAUGUACUUAAUUUAAGCUUGUUGAUAGCAAAAAGACGUCUUUGUUUAUUCUUUCAUUGUAAACUCUUUACCAAAAAAAAGAUUGAACAAAUAUUACAAAGUGUGUGAUAACAUAUAUAUAUUAAAGCAUUGACUUUUUGUUUCCA